rnacentral:rRNA from 1 species
UGGGGAAUAUUGCGCAAUGGGGGCAACCCUGACGCAGCAACGCCGCGUGCAGGAAGACGGUCUUCGGAUUGUAAACUGUUGUCGCAAGGGAAGAAAAAAAUGACGGUACCUUGUGAGAAAGUCACGGCUAACUACGUGCCAGCAGCCGCGGUAAUACGUAGGUGACAAGCGUUGUCCGGAUUUACUGGGUGUAAAGGGCGCGUAGGCGGAUUUGCAAGUCAGUCGUGAAAUACCGGGGCUCAACCCCGGGGCUGCGAUUGAAACUGCAAACCUUGAGUAUCGGAGAGGAAAGCGGAAUUCCUAGUGUAGCGGUGAAAUGCGUAGAUAUUAGGAGGAACACCAGUGGCGAAGGCGGCUUUCUGGACGACAACUGACGCUGAGGCGCGAAAGUGUGGGGAGCAAACAGG